GGUGUUGAACGGGUGAGUAACACGUGAGUAACCUGCCCUUGACUCUGGGAUAAGCCUGGGAAACUGGGUCUAAUACCGGAUAUGACUCCUCAUCGCAUGGUGGGGGGUGGAAAGCUUUUUGUGGUUUUGGAUGGACUCGCGGCCUAUCAGCUUGUUGGUGGGGUAAUGGCCUACCAAGGCGACGACGGGUAGCCGGCCUGAGAGGGUGACCGGCCACACUGGGACUGAGACACGGCCCAGACUCCUACGGGAGGCAGCAGUGGGGAAUAUUGCACAAUGGGCGAAAGCCUGAUGCAGCGACGCCGCGUGAGGGAUGACGGCCUUCGGGUUGUAAACCUCUUUCAGUAGGGAAGAAGCCCUCUUUGGGGGUGACGGUACUUGCAGAAGAAGCGCCGGCUAACUACGUGCCAGCAGCCGCGGUAAUACGUAGGGCGCAAGCGUUAUCCGGAAUUAUUGGGCGUAAAGAGCUCGUAGGCGGUUUGUCGCGUCUGCUGUGAAAGACCGGGGCUCAACUCCGGUUCUGCAGUGGGUACGGGCAGACUAGAGUGCAGUAGGGGAGACUGGAAUUCCUGGUGUAGCGGUGAAAUGCGCAGAUAUCAGGAGGAACACCGAUGGCGAAGGCAGGUCUCUGGGCUGUAACUGACGCUGAGGAGCGAAAGCAUGGGGAGCGAACAGGAUUAGAUACCCUGGUAGUCCAUGCCGUAAACGUUGGGCACUAGGUGUGGGGGACAUUCCACGUUUUCCGCGCCGUAGCUAACGCAUUAAGUGCCCCGCCUGGGGAGUACGGCCGCAAGGCUAAAACUCAAAGGAAUUGACGGGGGCCCGCACAAGCGGCGGAGCAUGCGGAUUAAUUCGAUGCAACGCGAAGAACCUUACCAAGGCUUGACAUGGACCGGAAAGACCUGGAAACAGGUGCCCCGCUUGCGGCCGGUUUACAGGUGGUGCAUGGUUGUCGUCAGCUCGUGUCGUGAGAUGUUGGGUUAAGUCCCGCAACGAGCGCAACCCUCGUUCUAUGUUGCCAGCGGUUCGGCCGGGGACUCAUAGGAGACUUGCCGGGGUCAACUCGGAGGAAGGUGGGGACGACGUCAAAUCAUCAUGCCCCUUAUGUCUUGGGCUUCACGCAUGCUACAAUGGCCGGUACAAAGGGUUGCGAUACUGUGAGGUGGAGCUAAUCCCAAAAAGCCGGUCUCAGUUCGGAUUGGGGUCUGCAACUCGACCCCAUGAAGUCGGAGUCGCUAGUAAUCGCAGAUCAGCAACGCUGCGGUGAAUACGUUCCCGGGCCUUGUACACACCGCCCGUCAAGUCACGAAAGGUGGCAACAUGAGUUUGCUCGUGGCUCAACAAGUCGAACAAGUAGC
rnacentral:rRNA from 1 species